CCCUAUGGGGUGCACUAUAUAAAAGGGGAUGUUACUGUUAAGUCUGAUUUGGACAACUUAAACGAGUUUUUAAAACAUACGAGCCUCGAUAUUGUCGUUAAUAAUGCGGGAAUAACGCGAGAUGCAACACUGUUUAAAAUGACCGAUUCUCAAUGGGAUGAGGUGAUCAAUACUAAUCUUACCUCUGUUUUUAAAGUUUCACGUAUCGUUGCUGGGGGGAUGCGUGAUCGCCAAAGUGGGGUUAUUAUUAAUAUUGCUUCCGUUGUUGCUCAUUAUGGUAAUUUUGGCCAAGCCAAUUAUGCCGCGAGUAAAUCUGGAGUUAUUGGCCUUACAAAAACCUUGGCGAAGGAAUUGGCGGGGGGGC
rnacentral:rRNA from 1 species